rnacentral:lncRNA from 1 species
UAAGCUCGUGCCGGGUCAGGGUCUGUGGUGCAGGAGCGACCUCAGCAAUCACGUCCCCGCCGUCGCUGGGCCACCUUCCCGAAGAAGGGGGAUGGAGAAGGCCGCCAAGACCCCGUCCCGGAGUCGCCGCCAGGGGGCGUGCGCAGGACAGAGAAAAGUUUCGCGCUUUGACCCCCGGCGCGGCCCGUCGCCCGUCGCUGCGGCGGGAAAAAUCUGACCGGACCGUCUGGGCCACUGCCUCUUUCUGCCUUUGAGCGUCUUCCUGAGCUGGUCCGCGUGAUGGAGGAGGAGGCGGAGGCCGAGGAGCAACAGCGAUUCUCUUACCAGCAGGUACAGCAUAAACCGG